AGUGAACGCUGGCGGUAGGCCUAACACAUGCAAGUCGAACGGCAGCACAGAGGAGCUUGCUCCUUGGGUGGCGAGUGGCGGACGGGUGAGGAAUACAUCGGAAUCUACUCUGUCGUGGGGGAUAACGUAGGGAAACUUACGCUAAUACCGCAUACGACCUACGGGUGAAAGCAGGGGACCUUCGGGCCUUGCGCGAUUGAAUGAGCCGAUGUCGGAUUAGCUAGUUGGCGGGGUAAAGGCCCACCAAGGCGACGAUCCGUAGCUGGUCUGGGAGGAUGAUCAGCCAGACUGGAACUGAGACACGGUCCAGGCUGCUACGGGAGGCAGCAGUGGGGAAUAUUGGACAAUGGGCGCAAGCCUGAUCCAGCCAUACCGCGUGGGUGAAGAAGGCCUUCGGGUUGUAAAGCCCUUUUGUUGGGAAAGAAAUCCAGCUGGCUAAUACCCGGUUGGGAUGACGGUACCCAAAGAAUAAGCACCGGCUAACUUCGUGCCAGCAGCCGCAGUAA
rnacentral:rRNA from 1 species